rnacentral:rRNA from 1 species
AUUGAACGCUGGCGGCAUGCCUUACACAUGCAAGUCGAACGGCAGCACAGGGCAACCUGGUGGCGAGUGGCGAACGGGUGAGUAAUGCAUCGGAACGUACCUUUCAGUGGGGGAUAACGUAGCGAAAGUUACGCGAAUACCGCAUAUUCUGUGAGCAGGAAAGCAGGGGAUCGCAAGACUUUGCGCUGAUUGAGCGUCCGAUGUCAGAUUAGCUAGUUGGUGAGGUAAAGGCGCAGCAAGGGGACGAUCUGUAGCGGGUCUGAGAGGAUGCUCCGCCACACUGGAACUGAGACACGGUCCAGACUCCUACGGGAGGCAGCAGUGGGGAAUUUUGGACAAUGGGGGCAACCCUGAUCCAGCCAUGCCGCGUGAGUGAAGAAGGCCUUCGGGUUGUAAAGCUCUUUCGGCCGGGAAGAAAUCGCACGGGCUAAUACCCUGUGUGGAUGACGGUACCGGAAUAAGAAGCACCGGCUAACUACGUGCCAGCCGCCGCAGUAACAC